AGGUAAGCUACUAAGAGCGAAUGGUGGAUGCCUUGACUGGUAGAGGCGAUGAAGGACGUACUAGACUGCGAUAAGCUAGGUGGAGCUGUCAAGAAGCUUUGAUGCCUAGAUUUCCGAAUGGGGCAACCCAGUAUAUAGAGAUAUAUACUACCAUAAUGGAGCGAACGAGGGGAAUUGAAACAUCUUAGUACCCUCAGGAAAAGAAAUCAAACGAGAUUGCGUCAGUAGCGGCGAGCGAAAGCGUAAGAGGGCAAACCCAGUGCUUGCACUGGGGGUUGUAGGACUGCAAUGUGCAAGAGGAAAGGUUAGCAGAACACUCUGGAAAGUGUAGCCAUAGAGGGUGAUAGUCCCGUAUGCAAAAACCUAACCUUAGCUAGCAGUAUCCUGAGUAGGGCGGGACACGAGAAAUCCUGUCUGAAGCUGGGUAGACCACUAUCCAACCCUAAAUACUACUACCAGAUCGAUAGCGAACAAGUACCGUGAGGGAAAGGUGAAAAGAACGGCGGUGAGCCGAGUGAAAUAGAACCUGAAACCAUUUGCUUACAAUCAUUCAGAGCACUAUGUAGCAAUACAGUGUGAUGGACUGCCUUUUGCAUAAUGAGCCUGCGAGUUGUGGUGUCUGGCAAGGUUAAGCUAACGCGAAGCCGUAGCGAAAGCGAGUCUGAAUAGGGCGCUAAGUCAGAUGCUGCAGACCCGAAACGAAGUGAUCUAUCCAUGAGCAGGUUGAAGCUAGUGUAAGAACUAGUGGAGGACCGAACCCGCUAGCGUUGAAAAGCUAUGGGAUGACUUGUGGAUAGGGGUGAAAGGCCAAUCAAACUUCGUGAUAGCUGGUUCUCUCCGAAAUAUAUUUAGGUAUAGCGUUGUGUCGUAACUAAAGGGGGUAGAGCACUGAAUGGGCUAGGGCAUACACCAAUGUACCAAACCCUAUCAAACUCCGAAUACCUUUAGUGUAAUCACAGCAGUCAGGCGGCGAGUGAUAAAAUCCGUCGUCAAGAGGGAAACAACCCAGACUAACAGCUAAGGUCCCCAAAUCUUACUUAAGUGGAAAACGAUGUGAAGUUACUUAAACAACCAGGAGGUUGGCUUAGAAGCAGCCAUCCUUUAAAGAAAGCGUAAUAGCUCACUGGUCUAGUGAUUUUGCGCGGAAAAUAUAACGGGGCUAAAGUAAGUACCGAAGCUUUAGACUUAGUUUACUAAGUGGUAGGAGAGCGUUCUAUUUGCGUCGAAGGUAUACCGACAAGGAGUGCUGGAGCGAAUAGAAGUGAGCAUGCAGGCAUGAGUAGCGAUAAUUAAUGUGAGAAUCAUUAACGCCGUAAACCCAAGGUUUCCUACGCGAUGCUCGUCAUCGUAGGGUUAGUCGGGUCCUAAGCUGAGUCCGAAAGGGGUAAGCGAUGGCAAAUAGGUUAAUAUUCCUAUACCAACAUUAGUGUGCGAUGGAAGGACGCUUAGGGCUAAGGGGGCUAGCGGAUGGAAGU
rnacentral:rRNA from 1 species